CCUCCCGACAUCCUUCCGACACAUCUGAUGUGACACCCAAAAAUUUUUCAUCUCCAAUCUAAACAGGGCCUAAAAACAACUUCUGCCCUUGUUCCUGUAAAGAAGUGUCUUCUUUAAAGAAGCUAAAGACAUUUUGAAAUAUGUUGGGGAAAAUAGCUCUUGUUUUUUUAAUGUAUUGAAGAUGACAAAUGUUUAUAAUGUCUCUGCUUAUUAUUUGACUUAGUUGUGCAUGUAAUAGAAAUUCAUAUAUUGUAAAAAUGACCAUCUUGCAUCAAUUAUCAUAAUAUUAGUCACCAUUUAGGUAGAUAACAAUUGUAGACUUAAAGCAUGUACGUUAUUUUGGGCAAAAGGCCAAGGCCCAUACCCGCAACACUCCUAUCGUAUCUCUUCCUGUCUUCCUUUGAGAUUGCCACUACUCACAAGUUUUGUGGCGUCGCUCAUGGUGCAUUCAUACCGCGGCGCUGCUCGCUCUCCAGCGUUGCUGAUCGCCACCGUUUUUGAAAAGUGAUGUAUGGUAUGGCAACCAUACUUAGCAAAGUUGACAAGUCACGCGUUUUGCAUGUGCUGACAGAACAACCACUUCAUCAUGGGCCCACAUAUCAUGGACGAAAUAGUGCGCCUUAGGAGUCGGCCAUUCCAACCUGGCUUCCUUGUCCUCGUUUUGUCUCCGCCGCCGUCUAGGUUUGGUGGAAGCCCAGGUUUGGAUUAGCGAGAGCUCGAGGACAUCAGUCACUUGCUCACUAUUGAUGGCGGAGGAGGAGAUGCAGCUGGUGGUUGUCGUUGAGGGGGACAGCGUCCUUAGGGCUCUACUGGUCCACCAUUGUGACCAACUACAACAAGAAGAUUGUGCGGUACGACCGCACCCCUAGCCCCCUCUUGUGUUCCUCUUCCUCGUUUAUGGAUGUUUUAGGGAUAAAAUUGGGUGUUGGGGUUUCGUGGAGGCUUGUGUGUUCAUAAUGUGAUUUAAGCUCUCUUGAUUUCAACUUUCCUUUUUUGUUAUGGAAUUAUUAAUUUUCUUUAGAGUUUUAAAUUGAUGAAUCUGUCGAAGGACUGACUACUAAGGUACUAACGCAUCUGUGUUAGUGUUUUAUUUGACGACAAAGCAUCUACUUCCUAAUUUAUUCACAAAAAAAACAUCUACUUCCUAAUUGUCGAUCAGGCUUAGGCCCACUAUGCGGCAAUCCUUUUUAAUAAACCCCUAUCUCAUAGCAAUAGCAUGCUGUGAAUUUUGCUAAAUGUUUGAAAACCAAGUUCAACGCUACACAUCAUUUUGCUAAAAUUUUGCAUUUUAGUAUGACUGAUCAUUGAUGAAUGGAGAAAAUUCAAAUUUGUGCGGGAGUUUUUGUGUCCAGCCUGAUGCCGAACCAUUUAUCAUCCGAGUUCUCAAUUUGUGCAUGCUAUUCCAUGAAUUAUUUCGGUGCGUAACUUAUUCUUCGUUCGUGCAGAAGCUUGCAAGGGCAUCACCUGAGCUUGCAUUAAUUGGUUUUCAUACCCAUAGACCUUACAACAGUAUGCCUUUAUAACGUCGUCCAUGCAUAUGGAAAUAUAGUUAAUUGUGCAUUCUAUCAAAUAUGCAAUAUGUGAAUAUUUUGCAAUGCAGUUUUUCGUGUGCCGCGAAGUAGAUGGACAAAAGAUAUUGAUGCUUUCCUAUCAUAGUUAUCUGGAAUAUCAUUCAGUAGUGGAGGAUUUAGUGAAGUUCCUACUUGUGAAGGUUUUGCUGAAGCACUGAUGGUAUUGACCUGUUAUAGUUGAUUAAAGUCUCUAGUUUCAUUCAUGCAGCCAAAAGCUAGCAUGUUGGAGUUUUGUUAACCUUUCAAGAUAUCUUCUUGAUCUUUGAGUUAUGUUGUUAUGAGAGCAUGAUGUCUGGCGCUGGGUCUCUGACAGUGGGCCCAUGUAUUCCGUACCGCUACAGGGAUACUAUGGCAGCUAGCCCUUCAGGUCGUCGCCACGGAGCCGUCAGCGUGACGCAGCUGCAGCGUCACAUACUCACAUGGCAUGGCCGCCGACAACGGUCGCUCGCUCGCUCGCUGUGCAUUCACGGUGCUACCGACCCAGUGUGCCCACUGCGUGAAUCGUCGUGAUCAUGGUGGAUUAUUAUUACUAACCCACACCAUGCAUGCAUGCGACGCGGACAGAGCAUGCAGCGCACCGUCGUCGGUCUGCUCCCCACGCUGGCAGCAAAGCGAGCGAGGCUCCACACAUCACAACGCACAGGUAAACUGAGGCCACCCUCUCUCAUCACUCGUGGCCGAAACGAAAAUUAUGCCGCGGCCCGCGAUGUACAGUAGAAGAUGCUUUAGGCCUUGUGUAGGGUACAGCUCACAACAGCUUCAUGAGCUGUUUUUUUUUUUCCAAACACUUCAUGGCUGAAGCUAUUCUUCUCCUCCUCUCACAAAGACAUAAGUUGGAUGAAGCUGGAAAAAUAUAGCUUAUUGCAGCUUCUUCCUCA